CUAAAAAGCAACAGCACCCUCUCCAGUAACCCUAGAUCGCCUCCAUUCCUCAAGCAGCGCCGCCAUUUUCCUUCCCUGCAAGAAAAACACCGCCGAGACAAAACCUCCUGCCGCCGUCUACCCUCACCGUCGUCGCCAUGUUCACCGGCGCGCCCACCUGAUCCGUGGAACGGAGCCACCGUGUCAUCCUCCACGCCCUCGUCUGCUUCAAGGAACCUGUGACAUCAAGAUCUGCACGAGAUCGACCUCUUCUCUGCAUCAUCUAGCUACUUCACGGGCGUCUCCUUCUUCUUCGACUCCGACCAGGCGGCCCCCCUCUACUUCCUUCCUCCUCGACGAACCAGGGCCUGAUCAUCCAUGGCUACAAGAAAUCGUUCAUACAUGGGAGUCCUCAAGGUUCCAAGCCUGCUACGUUUGCUAUUUCUCAUGCUCCUCCUCUUGGCUCCUGGCCUGAUCAUCCAUGGCUACAAGAAAUCGUUCAUACAUGGGAGUCCUCAAGGUUCCAAGCCUGCUACGUUUGCUAUUUCUCAUGCUCCUCCUCUUGGCUCCUGGCUCUCAUGCUAAGACUUGCAAGGAGGCCAGCAAGACCUAUACCACUGUUUCUUGCCGUGAUGAUCCAUGUGCUGAGGCCUGCCACAAGGAGGGAUUUAUUGACGGGAGGUGUUACCUAAUCGACAACUAUCCUAUUGAGAAGCUAUGUUACUGCGAUAAAGAGUGCUGAAUAAAAACAUGUUGAAACUACCGCAUAUCAUGCGAUGCAAAAGUAAUAAGAUGGUGUAUUGAAAACUAGUAAGCGUGCACGUGUGUUGCCCGAACCAUAUUCUAUACUAAAAACAUCUAUUUUGAAUCUUC